CCUACGGGUGGCAGCAGUGAGGGAUAUUGGUCAAUGGGGGUAACCCUGAACCAGCAACGCCGCGUGAGGGAAGACGGUUUUCGGAUUGUAAACCUCUGUCCUCUGUGAAGAUAAUGACGGUAGCAGAGGAGGAAGCUCCGGCUAACUACGGGCCAGCAGCCGCGGUAAUACGUAGGGAGCGAGCGUUGUCCGGAUUUACUGGGUGUAAAGGGUGCGUAGGCGGCCCUGCAAGUCAGAAGUGAAAUCCAUGGGCUUAACCCGUGAACUGCUUUUGAAACUGCAGGACUUGAGUGGAGUAGAGGUAGGCGGAAUUCCCGGUGUAGCGGUGAAAUGCGUAGAGAUCGGGAGGAACACCAGUGGCGAAGGCGGCCUACUGGGCUUUAACUGACGCUGAAGCACGAAAGCGUGGGUAGCAAACAGGAUUAGAUACCCCUGUAGUC
rnacentral:rRNA from 1 species